GUGCUCGCUUUGACAGCACAUAUACUAAAAUUGGAACAAUACAGAGAAGGUUAGCAUGGCCCUACGCAAGGAAGACAUGCAAAUUUGUGAAGUGUUCCAUAUUUUU
rnacentral:snRNA from 1 species